AAAAAAAAAAAAAAAAAAAAAAAUGAACUUCAGAAGAGCACAUUUUUUUUUUUCUUUGCCAUCCUUCUUAUAGUUUU
rnacentral:ribozyme from 17 species